GCACUGCUGACAAGUCCCGAACAGGACGACACAGCUGUCCAGUGC
rnacentral:hammerhead_ribozyme from 1 species